UUAAGUUCAGCGGGUAACUCCUACCUGAUCCGAGGUCAACCGUGGAAAAAAAUAUGGAAGACCAACGCCCGUAGAUCCUUCCCGAGCGGGUGACAAAGCCCCAUACGCUCGAGGACCUAGGCGGGCGUCGCCACUGCCUUUCAGGCAGGUCCCCAGGGGGACCACACCCAACACACAAGCCGUGCUUGAGGGCAGAAAUG
rnacentral:misc_RNA from 1 species